UGACAGGAGAUAUUAGAGCGGGCAGACCUAAUGGACAAGGAUCCUUGGAAUAUUAUGAAAACAUUCCUGACACAAGAACAUACAAAGGUGGAUGGAUAAACGGGAAGAGAAACGGUAUCGGUGAAAUGAUUUGGAAAGAUGGCGGCAGGUAUCGAGGGGAAUGGAAAGACGACCUUCCGAAUGGAAAGGGAGAAUAUGAAUGGAGUACUGGCAGAGUAUUUGUCGGAGAAUUCAGAAAUGGAUUACCUGUUGAAGACGAAAACCGAUGAUCAUACUAAAAAAUAAUAGUACUUUUUGAAUAGAAUGGUUUGUAAUAAAUUUGCAAUAAAUUUGUAUACCUUA